CAUCAUUGGCAACAUGGAGGCGAGUCACCGGCGAGUUGCGACACCGGUGGCUAACUUGGAGGUGAGUUGCCGGCGAUUUGUGUCAUCGGUGACGAACAUGGAGGCGAGACAUCGGCGAGUUGUGGCACUGGUGGCGAACAUGAGGCAGCGAGCAUGUCGCGGUGCCACACUCAUGGUGAAGGCGUAGGAGGUGCGGUUCUCAUUGAAACUCCGGCGACGGCGGCAAUCGGCGUGACAAGAUGGCAUUGGCCGCCAUCUACGUGUUGCACCAACAACAUCGACGACAAGCUCGCGCUGCUUUGA
rnacentral:rRNA from 1 species